GUAGUCUCGCACAGAUGCAUAUCAAUAAGCGGAGGAAAAGAAACUAACAAGGAUUCCCCUAGUAACGGCGAGUGAAGCGGGAAGAGCUCAAAUUUGAAAUCUUAAAGGGUUUCCCUUUACGAAUUGUAGUUUAAAGAAGUGUUUUCUGUUGAGGUUUUGGUAAAAGUUCUUUGGAAUAGGACAUCAUAGAGGGUGAGAAUCCCGUAUUUGACCUUUACUUUCAACUUUGUGAUACACUUUCAAAGAGUCGGAUUGUUUGGGAAUGCAGUCCAAAAUGGGUGGUAAAUUUCAUCUAAAGCUAAAUAUUGGCGAGAGACCGAUAGCGAACAAGUACCGUGAGGGAAAGAUGAAAAGAACUUUGAAAAGAGAGUUAAACAGUACGUGAGAUUGUCAAAAGGGAAGCGUUUGACACCAGUGUUGUUUUUCUGAAAAUCAAUUAAAGAACUGUUUAUGCUAAGUUGUUUAGACUUUAUCAGCUAACUGUUUAGUUUUGAGCUUUUCUUUAAUGCACUUUUCAGUUAACAAGUCAACAUCAAUUUCUUUUGCUGUAAAUAAGCUUGAGGAAGGUGGCUUGAGAUUCGUCUUAAGUGUUUAUAGCCUCUUGCCUAUGCAGUCGGAGAGAUUGAGGUCUGCAGCGUAGAUCCUUCGGGGCUAAAUGCAUUUGUGCUAAGUUAUAGCAUUUUAUAGACAACUUGUUGACUAUGAUUUGUCUUGUAGCUUACUCGCUUAUGUUAUUUUACCUACGCUUAGGAUGUUGACAGCAGUAUAGACUGU
rnacentral:rRNA from 1 species